rnacentral:rRNA from 1 species
AACGCUAGCUACAGGCUUAACACAUGCAAGUCGAGGGGUAACGAGAGGGAAGCUUGCUUUCCUUGUCGACGACCGGCGCACGGGUGAGUAACGCGUAUCCAACCUGCCCAUUACCACGGGAUACCCCGUCGAAAGGCGGCCUAAUACCGUAUGCAGUCGUCAGAUGACAUCAGAGGACGACGAAAGGAUUGGCGGUAAUGGAUGGGGAUGUGUCUGAUUAGGUAGUUGGAGGGGUAACGGCCCACCAAGCCAUCGAUCAGUAGGGGUUCUGAGAGGAAGGUCCCCCACAUUGGAACUGAGACACGGUCCAAACUCCUACGGGAGGCAGCAGUGAGGAAUAUUGGUCAAUGGGCGCGAGCCUGAACCAGCCAAGUAGCGUGAGGGAUGACGGCCCUAUGGGUUGUAAACCUCUUUUAUGCGGGAAUAAAAUGUUUGACGUGUCAUACAUUGUAGGUACCGCAAGAAUAAGGACCGGCUAAUUCCGUGCCAGCAGCCGCGGUAAUACGGAGGAUCCGAGCGUUAUCCGGAUUUAUUGGGUUUAAAGGGAGCGUAGAUGGAUGUUUAAGUCAGUUAUGAAAGUUUGCGGCUCAACCGUAAAAUUGCAGUUGAUACUGGAUAUCUUGAGUGCAGUUGAGGCAGGCGGAAUUCGUGGUGUAGCGGUGAAAUGCUUAGAUAUCACGAAGAACUCCGAUUG